UACGAACUGUGCAAACGUUAUUCGGAAUCACUGGGCUUAAAGGGUGCGUAGGCGGCUAUCUAAGCAGGGUGUGAAAGCCCCCGGCUCAACCGGGGAAUUGCGUUCUGAACUGGAUGGCUGGAGUGGGAUAGGGGUGUGUGGAACUUCCGGUGGAGCGGUGAAAUGUGUUGAUAUCGGAAGGAACGCCGGUGGCGAAAGCGACACACUGGGUCUCAACUGACGCUGAGGCACGAAAGCCAGGGGAGCGAACGGG
rnacentral:rRNA from 1 species